UGUUCCAAGAGUUGGGACAUUCACACAGCACCACUGGCCCUCACCAGAGCAGAACGCAAAGAUAUUUGCGAGAAGAAUCUGUGCUACAAAUGAAACACUUGAUGGGCACUGGCUUCCUCCUCAUGGAGAGGAGAUUCAUGGCUCAUAUCUGCCCAGUACCCAGCACUGUGCCUGGCAGCUGCAGAAUUAUCAAUGCAACAUUUGGUGAAUGAGUAUUGAAACCAAGGCAUCCAGCCUGCUCAUUGGCAAACACUUCUUCAGCCCCUCCCGUGGACCAUAUGCCCUGCUGGGAACUGCACACCAAAAUGAAAAACACAGAGAGAGAGGUCAAGUUUACUGCUAGGAUGCCUCACUGUUUAAUCUGGGAACUGCUGGGUCUAUCUAUGGUGAUGAACUCUGCUCAAGAAG